UGCUGCCCUGUGCAUCAACAUAUUAGGCUUUGACUUGCUGUAUAGUCUAUCAGAAAUGGUGUUUUCUACAUCAGGGUGGAUAAUGAAAACUAAUAUUGUCUCAGCAAGCAGUCUCAUCAUUCAAGAUGAAACUGAAUUUAGACCUAUGAUAUCCUGUCAAAAUGUGUGGGGGGUCGCGAGACUUGGCAAAUGGAUUUUAUGGGGUCCCCGGACAAAAAGUUUGAGAACCACUGGACUACACCUCCCAAAGACCACCAGCGGACAACACCAUGGGUUCACAUUUCCUUUAUUUGAUUAAAAAAAAAGAGGAAAAUAUUCUUUACAAAAACAGCAGAAAAUGUGGGGAAUCUGCAGGCCCAUAGCCGAGUGGGUGGAGCUAGAGCUGGGGGGCGGAGCUGGAGCCGAGUGGGUGGAGCAAGAUAUGGAUGGGCGGGGUUGUGUGGGUGGAGCCAGAUAUGGUGGGCGGGGCUGGAUCAUAGUGGGCGGGGCUGGAUCUGAGUGGGUGGAGCGGAGUGAAAACGGCAGAAGAAAAGAAAAGAUACAUGCACAGCCUCAACCAAUCAGCAAGCAGAACCACCAUAGCAGUAACUUUUUAGUGUUACCUAUUAGUGCCAUCUAACGUCAGAAUCCACCAUCGCAGUAACACUCUGUGGACUACACCUCCCAGAAUCCACCAUCGCAGUAACACUCUGUGGACUACACCUCCCAGAAUCCACCAUCGCAGUAACACUCUGUGGACUACACCUCCCAGAAUCCACCAUGGCAGUAACACUCUAUUGGACUACACCUCUCAGAAUCCACCAUGGCAGUAACACUCUAUUGGACUACACCUCCCAGAAUCCACCAUCGCAGUAACACACUAUUAGUGCCAUCUAACGCCAGAAAACCUCCAUGGCCACUGACCUUAACCAGUCGACUGUAGGGGGUCAUUAGGUACCAUGACCAUCAAUCAAUGAAUUUGUUUACUAAUUAAUGGUUUUGUUCAAUUUACUUUUGAAAAUACUUAUCGCUCUGUAAAGCGCCUAGAGACAAUUGUAUUGUUAUGGCGCUAUAUAAAUAAAAUUGAAUUGAAUUAUCGUAAAUAUUCUUCGAAGGUCACAACUGUAACCCUGCGUUCAAGUCUAAAAAAAGUGAUUAAGGAGUUGAGGUGAAAUUAAUAUGAGUUGACGUGGCACAUGGUGCGGUGUAGACCAAUGGAUGCCGUGGAGCUCCUGUCCCUAUAACACCAGGGGCAGCUGACUGAUAUCUCCUGGGGAGCUGACUGAUAUCUCCUGGGGAGGUGACUGAUAUCUUCUACAACACCAGAGCAGGUGACUGAUAUCUCCUGUGCUACAACGCCUGGGGCAGGUGACUGAUAUCUCCUGUGCCUACAUCACCAGGGAGGUGACUGAUAUCUCCUGGGGCAGGUGACUGAUAUCUCCUACAACCCCAGAGCAGGUGACUGAUAUCUCCUGGGGCAGGUGACUGAUAUCUCCUGGGGCAGGUGACUGAUAUCUCCUGUGCCUACAUCACCAGGGAGGUGACUGAUAUCUCCUGGGGCAGGUGACUGAUAUGUCCUGGGGCAGGUGACUGAUAUGUCCUGGGGCAGCUGACUGAUAUCUUGUGAUUUUACGUCAUCGCAUACGGUGUGUCCUUCCCAAAGCGCACUCUGGCCACCCCCCCAGGUACACCUUGUGGCUAAUUUGCUCGUAAUGACGGCCUCUCUGUAAAUACGCUCCAUAGCGGCGGCCCCCAGAACGCCCAGGAGGACCCCUGUCUUCAGCACACACACACACACACACCACACACACACACACACACACCACCCACACACACACACACACACACACACACCACACACACACACACACACCACACACACACACACACACACACACACAC
ensembl:lncRNA